CUAUGUUACAUGGUAUGGGGAUACGGAUACGACGAUACGGGAAAACGACACUUUCUGAAAAUAGACUUACGGGGAUACGGCGGGUAUAUAUAUAAACCUGAAUUCUUAAAAGCAAAGCUUUGCUUUUUAGAGCUUCAGAGCACACACCCCUCUGCGCUGUUCGAUAGAGAUCGCGGUCUCCAGGUGUUGGGCGGUCGGGCCGAAACAAACGAAUCCACCGACCUCGUUAUCCACUCCUCUCUCUCACCCCACACAAAUCACCUUCUCCCUCCACCGGUGCACACCUUCCUCCACACCCCGGCGAGAUCCGACGCACCCCGCCUCCAUCGACCUAGCCCUCGCGCUGGCCCGCUUCUAACCAAAUCCUGAGUCGGAGCUCCUCCUUCCUCAGCCUUCUUCUCCGCCGGCGAACCACCCACCCCGACCGGCAGCGGAGCAUCCCGCGCGAGCGGACAUGCUCCCUUGUUCCUGACUGGCGGCGACGCGGCCCUGUGCCCUGCUUCUCCAUCCCGGCAUCGUCCCCCGCCGCGUCAAUCCCUCGCCGGGUUAAUGCAUCUUGUAGCUCGGGCCUUCGAUUCUAGUCCAACGACGACAACAAAAGAAGGCAGGGGCUGCUCUGGCCGCCCCCUUGCAGAUUCCAACCAACAGUACAGGGAGGAUCCUCUCACAACCUUGCCUCAAACACUCCCGUCCAGAGCUUGCCUGCAGGGGCCGGGUGGAUGAGGCGCAGUACGUCACUGUAGAUUCCCCUCCUGCUAUUCGUCCACAAGGACGCCCUGGAGCCUUACAUGAGCAGGAAGGCGGUGGAGCUGCACUGGGGCAAGCACCAGUAGGACUACAUGGACGGGCUCAUCAAGCAGCUCGCCAUCAGCCCGCUGUAUGGCCACACCCUCGAGGACCUCAUCAAGGAGGCUUACAACAACAGCAACCCGCUAUCCGAGAGCAACGAUGCGACCGAGGGAGAUAAAACAGGGGGGUCCUGCUGUAUUUUGGUUGCUGCAAUUAUCUGUAUCAUGUGGUGUGUUGGUCUGGAACCAUCACGUCUUCUAGGAAUCGAUGCAGCCGGAAGGCGGUGGCUCUCCCGAGGCAGGUGCGCUGCAGCAGAUCGAGAAGGAUUUCGGCUCCUUUAAUUUUAGGGAGGAGUUCAUGCGCUCGGCAUUGUCAUUGUUGGGGUCCGGUUGGAUUUGGCUUGUCUUGAAGAGAAGCGAGAGGAAACUCAUAGUGGUUCAGGCACAAAAUGCUAUCAACCCACUUGCUUGAAAAUUAUUUGCAUUUUGCCUACAUCCCAGCAGGACUUGCUAUUUAUUUUCCCUCUUUGCAAGCAAGAAGCUUUGCCAACCACUUUCAGGACUUGCUCUCUAGCUCCCACUUAUUCGCAAGCAAAAAAUGUUUCACUGACAACUUCCAGAGAAGCAAGCAUGAUCACUUCUUUCUCUUCAAGAAUUAUCUUUUUUUACAGAGAUUGCAUGUUACAAAGCAUAGGAGACUCGGGUGUUCUUCAUGGUGCAGGAUCACCUGCACAGGCCAGAGGAGGAGGAAGAACUAACCCGUCGGCUGGAGAAGAUGGGGCAGAGGUGGUUGCUGCAGGAGUGGCGACGCUGCUGCUGCUGGAUUUAGUCCUUGUAGGAAC